GACGAACGCUGGCGGCGUGCUUAACACAUGCAAGUCGAACGGAAAGGCCCUGCUUUUGUGGGGUGCUCGAGUGGCGAACGGGUGAGUAACACGUGAGUAACCUGCCCUUGACUUUGGGAUAACUUCAGGAAACUGGGGCUAAUACCGGAUAGGAGCUCCUGCUGCAUGGUGGGGGUUGGAAAGUUUCGGCGGUUGGGGAUGGACUCGCGGCUUAUCAGCUUGUUGGUGGGGUAGUGGCUUACCAAGGCUUUGACGGGUAGCCGGCCUGAGAGGGUGACCGGCAAAAUGGGAAUGAGGUACCGGCCCAAACUCUUCGGGGGGGCAGCGGUGGGAAUAUUGCACAAUGGGCGGAAGCCUGAUGCAGCAACGCCGCGUGCGGGAUGACGGCCUUCGGGUUGUAAACCGCUUUCGCCUGUGACGAAGCGUGAGUGACGGUAAUGGGUAAAGAAGCACCGGCUAACUACGUG
rnacentral:rRNA from 1 species